GUGUCCAGUCAUCAUAGCAGCCCUAGGGCACCACAGUCUUUAAGCUAAGUAGGUUGGGCCUGGAUGGGGCUCAGAUGGGGGACUGCCUGUAAAGACCGGGUGCUGGAGGCU
rnacentral:rRNA from 1 species